AUGCAACAGAGUGCUUCAUGGCUCAAGAAUAUGGAUGCUGGUAAUUCACAUAUGCCACGGAGAAGCUGUGAAAUGUUUCCUUUAAAUGAAAAGACAUCCUGCUUUCAGAUGUCUGAUCAAAGGGCACUUAAAUAUCUGAUGGUUCAAAAGGACUAACUCUGAAGAAACUCUGACCCCAGGGAUUAUUCUACUCUGCCAUCCCUUGUUGAAAUCUCCUCAUCACUGUGUUGCUCAGGACUUUCUUUCUGACUUGUCCUGGACAAAAGAUGGUGCUGACAAAGGUGUUCAAACUUUGUCCUCAAAACAACUGUAUGCUGUUUUGCCAAAACAAACAGCCCUCCACUCUACAUGAACCUCCUGGACUUGAAUUUGUUCCUUCUCAGACCUAGAGACCCACUCUACCGCCUAACCAUAUCCAAACUCCCACUUCAGCUUCUCUGAUGGUGCCAUGUUGAAUACGGUCCACUGAGUUUCAUGGAUCCCCAUCCACACACUGUUAGAAGACACCCUUCCUAGGACUCUGCUUGCCUGUGAUUCUUGCCUCAGUCUCUGAGCAUCAGACACCUUCCUACUAUGAUAGUUGCCCUUAAUAACACUUUUUCUCACUUAAUUUGACUUUUUUUGCUCCUUAACAUGGCAUAAGAUAUCCUUUAGGAUUUGCUUUGGGAGAGGUGAAAUAUAAAAAGUUGUCGAGAAAUGUGAAUAUUUAAUUAAAUGGGAUACUGGAUUACCAAGGAACAAUACUUGGUUCCCUGUUUAAUCCAAAUGACAUUAAGAGAUUUUUAAGGCAGAUGAGAGAAGUAACAAGAUUAUUUUAAAAUCCAACUUUUUUAAGUGAAGACUUUGUUUUCUUUAAUAAUGAAGGACAUGUUAAAGUCAACACCAAGCAUAAGAAAUUAUUCUGAUGAGACCUUGAAUAUUUAUAGUCUGUGAAAAUUACUCAGAAAAUAAAGGAAAGUCUCUUACAAACUUGUAUUGAAAAGAUCACUAGCCAACAAAAUAUAUGAUUUUAAUAGAAAGAAACCUAAAUUGUAGUUUUACAUCAGUAUAAAAUUUAAUGUUACUGCUCUCAUUUACAAUCUUAUAAAUAAAUAACUUAUUUAAACUUAGCUGUCUACAAAAAUAAAAUACAAUGUCCUUUCCUUGAAGCUUCAACAACAUUAUCCAGUCAGGGUUUUCCCUACACCAUGUGUACUGGAACAAUUAUUCAUUUUAUGGUAGAAAAGUCACUCUCAUUUUCCUUAACAAAACACAUCCUAUGUGUUUUGCAUACAAAGUGCUCCCUUUGCCGUGAUCACUCCCAAUACAAUCACAUUCACAUUCGG
rnacentral:lncRNA from 1 species